rnacentral:rRNA from 1 species
CAAAAUCCGUCUUGAUAAUGCUAGGGUACGAUGGGGAGCGAAUUUUAGUAGCGAAGUAGCUGAUUUCACACUGUCAAGAAAAGUCUCUAUCGAGUUUAAAGGCGCCCGUACCGUAAACCGACACAGGUGGGUGAGGAGAGUAUCCUAAGGCCAGCGAGAGAACUAUUGUUAAGGAACUCGGCAAAAUGACCCCGUAACUUAGGGAGAAGGGGUGCCUGUCUUUGACAGGCCGCAGAGAAUAGGCCCAAGCGACUGUUUACCAAAAACACAGGUUUCUGCUAAGUCGCAAGACGAUGUAUAGGAGCUGACGCCUGCCCGGUGCUGGAAGGUUAAGGGGAUCUGUUAGAGCAAUCGAAGCAGUGAACUUAAGCCCCAGUAAACGGCGGCCGUAACGAUAACGGUCCUAAGGUAGCGAAAUUCCUUGUCGGGUAAGUUCCGACCCGCACGAAAGGCGUAACGAUUUGGGCACUGUCUCAACAAUAGACUCGGUGAAAUUGUAAUCCCGGUGAAGGUGCCGGGUACCUGCGACAGGACGGAAAGACCCCAUGGAGCUUUACUGUAGCUUGACGUUGGGUCUUGGUACUACAUGUACAGGAUAGGUGGGAGACUUUGAAGCAUGGACGCCAGUCUGUGUGGAGUCAUCCUUGGGAUACCACCCUUGUAGUACUGGGAUCCUAACCAGAGGCCUUGAAUCAGGUCUUGGGACACCGUCAGGUGGGCAGUUUGACUGGGGCGGUCGCCUCCCAAAGAGUAACGGAGGCGCUCAAAGGUUCUCUCAGUACGGUCGGAAAUCGUACGCAGAGUGUAAAGGCAAAAGAGAGCUUGAUUGCAAGACAUACAGGUCGAGCAAGGACGAAAGUCGGACUUAGUGAUCCGGUGGUUCCGCAUGGAAGGGCCAUCGCUCAACGGAUAAAAGCUACCCUGGGGAUAACAGGCUUAUCUCCCCCAAGAGUCCACAUCGACGGGGAGGUUUGGCACCUCGAUGUCGGCUCAUCACAUCCUGGGGCUGUAGUAGGUCCCAAGGGUUGGGCUGUUCGCCCAUUAAAGUGGUACGCGAGCUGGGUUCAGAACGUCGUGAGACAGUUCGGUCCCUAUCCGUCGCAGGCGUAGGAAAUUUGAGGAGACCUGUCCUUAGUACGAGAGGACCGGGAUGGACGUACCUCUGGUGUACCAGUUGUUCUGCCAAGGGCAUGGCUGGGUAGCUAUGUACGGAAUGGAUAAGCGCUGAAAGCAUCUAAGCGCGAAGCCAACUUCAAGAUAAGAUUUCCCACCGCAAGGGUAAGACCCCAGGAAGACUACCUGGUUGAUAGGUCGAAGGUGUAAGUGCAGUAAUGUAUUUAGCUUAUCGAUACUAAUAGGUCGAGGACUUGAUC